ACAGGCGAGCGUCAUGAUGGAGUAUUAGCUGGGAAACACAGCUGAGGAGGAGGAUUUUGUGUUUGUUGAACAGAGCUGGAUGAAGAUGGGCAGAGAGAGCGGGUGUAAACGUCUCUGUCAUGUUUUAGGCUGUGCUGAACGCUGGUGCAGAGACCGAUCAGGAGCUCUUCAGCAGUGAGCUGUCGGUCGAGAAGACUUCAGUGUUACAGGAAGAGCUUCAGUCCUGCAAUCAGCUGCUGGAGCUCGAACCGCAGAACAAAUGGUGUCUGCUGACAAUCAUACUCCUCAUGAGAGCUCUGGAUCCUCUAGGCCAUGAGAAAGAGACUCACAUUUCAAAUUUUCAAACCCUUAAAGUGAGAAAAUACUAUCACUACCUCAAUGAAGGAUGCUCUGGCAGCAGGAAAUAACAACAUACAUAAUAGAAAUCAAUAUCAAGGUUCUGGAAAUAAGACAUGCCUUUUAAAAUCUCAGGAUUUGAGUUGAACUCUAAUAAUGUCUCAUUCAUGUCUAUGAUGACUUACACGUUAGAGCUGUUCCCUUCAGUAUGAGCAAUGCAGUAAUAGUAAUGGCUUUGUAAACACUUAAAAGAAGGCAUUUUAACUGGCCUCUCUCUCUUCACUCACUCACUCACACACUCACACACACAC